GAUGAACGCUGGCGGCGUGCUUAACACAUGCAAGUCGAACGGUGAAGCAGGAGCUUGCUCUUGUGGAUCAGUGGCGAACGGGUGAGUAACACGUGAGCAACCUGCCCCUGACUCUGGGAUAAGCGCUGGAAACGGCGUCUAAUACUGGAUAUGUGAUGUGACCGCAUGGUCUGCAUCUGGAAAGAAUUUCGGUUGGGGAUGGGCUCGCGGCCUAUCAGCUUGUUGGUGAGGUAAUGGCUCACCAAGGCGUCGACGGGUAGCCGGCCUGAGAGGGUGACCGGCACAGUGGGACUGAGACACGGCCCAGACUACUUCGGGAGGCAGCAGUGGGGAAUAUUGCACAAUGGGCGGAAGCCUGAUGCAGCAACGCCGCGUGAGGGAUGACGGCCUUCGGGUUGUAAACCUCUUUUAGCAGGGAAGAAGCGAAAGUGACGGUACCUGCAGAAAAAGCACCGGCUAACUACGUGCCAGCCGCCGCAGUAA
rnacentral:rRNA from 1 species